rnacentral:rRNA from 1 species
GACGAACGCUGGCGGCGUGCUUAACACAUGCAAGUCGAACGGAAAGGCCCUGCUUUUGUGGGGUGCUCGAGUGGCGAACGGGUGAGUAACACGUGAGUAACCUGCCCUUGACUUUGGGAUAACUUCAGGAAACUGGGGCUAAUACCGGAUAGGAGCUCCUGCUGCAUGGUGGGGGUUGGAAAGUUUCGGCGGUUGGGGAUGGACUCGCGGCUUAUCAGCUUGUUGGUGGGGUAGUGGCUUACCAAGGCUUUGACGGGUAGCCGGCCUGAGAGGGUGACCGGCCACAUUGGGACUGAGAUACGGCCCAGACGCCUACGGGAGGCAGCAGUGGGGAAUAGUGCACAAUGGGCGGAAGCCGGAUGCAGCAACGCCGCGUGCGGGAUGACGGCCUUCGGGUUGUAAACCGCUUUCGCCUGUGACGAAGCGUGAGUGACGGUAAUGGGUAAAGAAGCACCGGCUAACUACGU